UAGGGCAAUUGCUACAAUGUGGGAUGGUGUUGAGAACCUGGGCAAGGACUUCAUCCAAGAGAUCAGUGCAGCCCCAAUCUAUUAUUGGAAGGGGAGGACCCCAUACAAUAGUCUGCUGAUGCAGUACGGCUAAUUUUAUGUAUGUCAAAAUAUGCUUGUGUGAUUUUGUGCCCAGUUUCCCACUGCACGUUUGGUAACCAUCUACCUUUUUACCCUGCCUUUGUAAUUUACAUCCAUUUUUUAGAUUUCAUAAUAUUAUCAGUUUUACACCAAUAUCAUGAACGUGUAAGCAAAGCCCCCCUGCUGUCCAACCCAAGCAGAGUGGCAAAAGUUUAAUAUGCUAAAGCUGGAAGUAUCUCCUGACACUUUUCUACUUGUUUCUAUUCCUCUUGACACAUUAAGGGGCACAUAUAUUAAAGGUCAAUUUUUUCUGGUCUGGCUUUUUGUUGGAAAAAACAGAAAAAGUCAAAGAAAAAAAAAGCACAACUUUUUCAGGAUUUGUUAUGCGACGAUACUGUGACAGAUCCGUAUCCAAAUUUACUCCAGCUAAAGCCUGUCAAAGUCAUGCAGAAGACAAUGGCAGAUUGAAGAUGUUUUUUUUGCCUUGAUGAUCUAGGGUUUUGGGCAUUUUGAUGCUGGUUUUUGUGAGAAAAUCCAGUUCUAGUUUUCUAGUUUUUCCAAUGACAAUUCAAAAAAGUUGUUGCAUGAUUUUGUCGAGACUUUUCCGGUAUGUACAUUUGGAUUUUUCUAAACAAUACUAAUCUUUUUUUUGCACGUGACCAUGGCUGAAGAGCUGGAGGAACAUCCAAAUAUCUUCAUCCCUGCGACUCUUGAGAUGUUAAUACCAAUGGGAUACCGGCCUAGGUUCCAUUCCAUACUGACAGCAAUCUGCAAUCCCCGCAGAGUGGAAGAUGCAUAAUAUGCUCUCAAAGUUUUCAAAUGACUUAAGUAAUGGAUUAACCGGAAUGCUUUACAUCAGACAGUUAAUUGAAACGACUAGAACUGACAAAGGGAGUAAAGGGAAUUUCAGCAUUAGAAGAGUUUCAAUCUGUUGGGCUCCUACUACUAAAUCAUUUACAAGGCCAUUUCUCAAUUCUGGAACAUGAAUAGCUAAGCAUGUGGGGUUCACGUUGUAUCAUCCGAGCACUUAUCCCAUUAUGGCCACAGUAGCCUUAUAAAUGUAUUUAAGUGUGCUUAGCUGCUUAUCCUGUAGGGAUUGCUCUACUUAUUGCUAAGCAAGAACAAAGCCAAUUAAGAAUACAUAAAGCCCAAUAUAUCUAAGUACAUAACAAAUGCCUUUUAAAGUGCCACUGUUUUCAGGUAAUAAGUCCCUUUCAUACAAAAGCCUCAAUAAUGCUGUUUAAUUGUCUGCCACAAUGGAGGUUCAUAUUUUAUAUGAAUAGGUACAAUAUGUUAAGUUCUAUGCUUUUAUUCUGUUUACGAGUCUUGUUUGCUAUCAGGGUCUGAGCACAAAUUCCAAAAAAUGGUGAAGUUCACUAUUUUUUUUCCAAGAUUCAAUUUAUUUUUUAAAAUGGUUCUUAUUAGCAGGAACAUUGUAAAUGAUGGACUCGAAGAUACAAAGAUUACAAUAAAGUGGGGUUUGGAUAGAUAAA